UUUGUUGAUUCCGAAAUCCGAAUUCCGACGGACAUCUUCAAGCUGGCCAUUUAUUGACUAAAAACUUUUAUAUUGUAAAUAAGUUAUUUAUCUUUUUUAUUUCUUUCCUUGUUUACAAGAAAAUAGAUGACUCGAGUGUUACAAACAAUAGUUUGGAAUAAUGUGAAAUAAGUUAAUUUUUAUAGGAUAGAAAACUUAAUCAACAUGAUAACUUAUUAACAUUAAGUAGUCCUACCAGACACUAACUUAGAUGAUCCUGGAGCAAAGGCUGUAAUUUGACCUGAACCCAAAUUGGUCUCUAUUUUAAAUAUUGUCUUGAACCAAUAAGUUAAGAGGACUAACCUUUCUGGACGACAUUGCCAUUGACAUCACUGCAGAUGAGAGAGAAAGAGAGACCAGAGUUGUGGACCCUGGAGGCAAUUACCAUACUGCCAUGAUAAUGUUACUUGGUCUAACCAUAACUUAAGUGAGAACUGAAGCCUACCAGUAAAAUGGGGGCGUUGCAAUUAAUAUCCUCCGACAUUGGAGAAUACAGGGAAGAGGUGUCAGAGAAAGAGGAGAUGGAGGAUGGGGCGAAGUAAAGACUAAGAUUGAAGAGAACUAACUAAUGGCCUGAUGACAGGGUGGAUGGCGAUGGAGGCAUGGAGGUUGGGGGAGAGGAGGCUGAAGAAGUGGAGACAAAUCAGUUUGGAUCCAUUAUGUUGAUUAGUUUAACAUUUAUUUUGAACAUCAGUAUUUAAAUUUUUUUUCCUACAGUUACCUAACAAUGUACAUGUUCUCUCACUGAUUUGAGAAAGCAAAGUGGCCAAUUCGCUCAUCAGUGAGACAAUGUUAACAUUGUCUCACUCUAAUUACUUUGUCUCACUCCAGAUUUUCAACGUGAAGGCACGAAAUAGUGAGCGCGUAACAUGCAGGCAACGCCGUAUGCGCGCGAAAUACGUUGGCAGCACUGGCUGUAAAUCAGCUGGUCAGCUGUUGUACUGUUGUAUUUGUCACUUCACAUUAAAUUAAUGUUAUAUUAAAAGUUCACUUCUGUGUAAAAAUAGGUUAUGUUUCUUCACCAAUUUAUUUGUUUUAUGGUAACUGUAGGAAAAGUAUAAUGUGCAACUCGAGUUCAAAGUACAAUUACCUCACUCGAGAAACCAUUCCUCACUCGCCUACGGCUCGUGAGUAAGGAUUUCUCUCGAGUGAGUCAAUUGCUCACUUUUCUCACUAGUUGCACAAAUAACUAUUCUCAUUUAGAUUAUUAAAUUAAGAUAAUUUUAUUGUUUUUAUGAAGAUGUUUUCUUACAUUUUUAAUAUUUGUUUGUACUUCUGCCUGGUAAAAAAAAAACCGUUUAUUAUGUUUGUUAAAAUGAUUACUUUCACUAACUGACCUUGUCUUGGGUAACAAGAGAUAUCUUGAUACUUAACUAACAGGGUGCCUGUUCUAUGGGGUUGUAUAAGUCAGUAGAAACCUUCUUAUAUUUCGAUACUUGGUAAAUUAAUCAUUUCCAACUUUAUAUAGUAUAGAUCGCUAUUCCUGUAUUGAUGUACUGAAAUGAAUAAAAUUAUAUGAA